CCUACGGGAGGCAGCAGUGAGGAAUAUUGGUCAAUGGGCGCGAGCCUGAACCAGCCAAGUAGCGUGAAGGAUGACUGCCCUACGGGUUGUAAACUUCUUUUAUCAAGGAAUAAAGUGAGGCACGUGUGCCUUUUUGUCUGUACUUUAUGAAUAAGGAUCGGCUAACUCCGUGCCAGCAACCGCGGUAAUACGGAGGAUCCGAGCGUUAUCCGGAUUUAUUGGGUUUAAAGGGUGCGGAGGUGGGUUGUUAAGUCAGUUGUGAAAGGUUGCGGCUCAACCGUAAAAUUGCAAUUGAUACUGGCAGGCUUGAGUACAGGAGAGGUAGGCGGAAUGCGCGGUGUAGCGGUGAAAUGCUUAGAUAUCACGAAGAACCCCGAUUGCGAAGGCAGCUUACUA
rnacentral:rRNA from 1 species